GAUGAACGCUGGCGGCGUGCUUAACACAUGCAAGUCGAACGAUGAAGGGAGCUUGCUCCUGGAUUAGUGGCGAACGGGUGAGUAACACGUGAGUAACCUGCCCUUGACUCUGGGAUAAGCCUGGGAAACUGGGUCUAAUACCGGAUAUGACCUUCCAUCGCAUGGUGGUUGGUGGAAAGCUUUCGUGGUUUUGGAUGGACUCGCGGCCUAUCAGCUUGUUGGUGGGGUAAUGGCCUACCAAGGCGACGCCGGGUAGGCGGCCUGAGAGGGUGACCGGCCACACUGGGACUGAGACACGGCCCAGACUCCUACGGGAGGCAGCAGUGGGGAAUAUUGCACAAUGGGCGCAAGCCUGAUGCAGCGACGCCGCGUGAGGGAUGACGGCCUUCGGGUUGUAAACCUCUUUCAGUAGGGAAGAAGCCGCAAGGUGACGGUACCUGCAGAAGAAGCGCCGGCUAACUACGUGCCAGCAGCCGCCGUAAUAC
rnacentral:rRNA from 1 species